ACUACUAAAGAAAUUAAAAUUCAGUAAAAAUAUAACUCACACAACUCACUUGUACUAAGAACUAAGAUCUUCAAUCAAAAGGAAAUUUUUUUCAUCAGAUCACAUAUGCCUAAAAGAAUAUAUUUCAUUGUUGAAACAAAGAAUUUCGAUAUCUAGAAUCAAGAAGAAUUUUUACACAACUCAUCACUGUUUACCCAUGAAGAAAAGGCAACAAAACUAUCAAAAAUAAUUUCAGUACAUAGAUCCAAGAGCACACAAAUUAGUAGUGUGAUAUGCCUAUAAACACCCAAAAUCCUUAUUGAGAUGGGGACCACCGUUGUAGUGAUGAGGAUCAUUGGUAAUCAGUAUCACAAAUUGACAACCCAAUCUCUUCGCACGAGCAGCUGUUCACCUUCAUUGCAUGGAGUAACAACUAUCUUCUUUAUGAGGAGAUGCUGUCAAUUUUUGUCUGUGGAGCAAUCGUCUUCUUCGUCAGAAAGGCUGAGUGAAACAAAGAAGAAGAAGAAGAAAAAGAAGAAAAAGAAAGGAAAGGUGGAAGCUUAGAGGGGGUGAUUUCAUAAGGUGAGAGAGCGUUGAGGCGUGAGGGAGAAAGAGAGGGGAUAGAGAGAAUAGAGCCUGCAUAAAAUGAGUCGGGUAGGAUUUUGUUAUG
rnacentral:lncRNA from 1 species